CCUACGGGCGGCAGCAGUGGGGAAUAUUGGACAAUGGGCGAAAGCCUGAUCCAGCCAUGCCGCGUGUGUGAAGAAGGCCUUCGGGUUGUAAAGCACUUUCAGUGGGGAAGAAAGCCUUGGGGCUAAUACCCUCGAGGAAGGACAUCACCCACAGAAGAAGCACCGGCUAACUCCGUGCCAGCAGCCGCGGUAAUACGGAGGGUGCGAGCGUUAAUCGGAAUUACUGGGCGUAAAGCGCGCGUAGGCGGUCUGAUAAGCCGGUUGGGAAAGCCCCGGGCUCAACCUGGGAACGGCAUCCGGAACUGUCAGGCUAGAGUGCAGGAGAGGAAGGUAGAAUUCCCGGUGUAGCGGUGAAAUGCGUAGAGAUCGGGAGGAAUACCAGUGGCGAAGGCGGCCUUCUGGACUGACACUGACGCUGAGGUGCGAAAGCGUGGGUAGCAAACAGGAUUAGAUACCCCAGUAGUC
rnacentral:rRNA from 1 species